rnacentral:rRNA from 1 species
UACGUAGGGUGCGAGCGUUGUUCGGAAUUACUGGGCGUAAAGGGCUCGUAGGCGGCCAACUAAGUCGGAUGUGAAAUCCCCAGGCUCAACCUGGGAACUGCAUCCGAUACUGGAUGGCUUGAAUUCGGGAGAGGGAUGCAGAAUUCCAGGUGUAGCGGUGAAAUGCGUAGAUAUCUGGAGGAAUACCGGUGGCGAAGGCGGCAUCCUGGACCGACAUUGACGCUGAUGAGCGAAAGCUAGGGGAGCAAACGGG